GUGGGUAGUUUGACUGGGGCGGUCUCCUCCUAAAGAGUAACGGAGGAGCACGAAGGUUGGCUAAUCCUGGUCGGACAUCAGGAGGUUAGUGCAAUGGCAUAAGCCAGCUUGACUGCGAGCGUGACGGCGCGAGCAGGUGCGAAAGCAGGUCAUAGUGAUCCGGUGGUUCUGAAUGGAAGGGCCAUCGCUCAACGGAUAAAAGGUACUCCGGGGAUAACAGGCUGAUACCGCCCAAGAGUUCAUAUCGACGGCGGUGUUUGGCACCUCGAUGUCGGCUCAUCACAUCCUGGGGCUGAAGUAGGUCCCAAGGGUAUGGCUGUUCGCCAUUUAAAGUGGUACGCGAGCUGGGUUUAGAACGUCGUGAGACAGUUCGGUCCCUAUCUGCCGUGGGCGCUGGAGAACUGAGGGGGGCUGCUCCUAGUACGAGAGGACCGGAGUGGACGCAUCACUGGUGUUCGGGUUGUCAUGCCAAUGGCACUGCCCGGUAGCUAAAUGCGGAAGAGAUAAGUGCUGAAAGCAUCUAAGCACGAAACUUGCCCCGAGAUGAGUUCUCCCUGAGACUUAAAGUCUCCUGAAGGAACGUUGAAGACGACGACGUUGAUAGGCCGGGUGUGUAAGCGCAGCGAUGCGUUGAGCUAACCGGUACUAAUGAACCGUGAGGCUUAACCCU
rnacentral:rRNA from 2 species